AUUGAACGCUGGCGGCAUGCCUUACACAUGCAAGUCGAACGGUAACGGGCCUUCGGGUGCCGACGAGUGGCGAACGGGUGAGUAAUGCAUCGGAACGUACCUUUCAGUGGGGGAUAACGUAGCGAAAGUUACGCUAAUACCGCAUAUUCUGUGAGCAGGAAAGCAGGGGAUCGCAAGACCUUGCGCUGAUUGAGCGGCCGAUGUCAGAUUAGCUAGUUGGUGAGGUAAAGGCUCACCAAGGCGACGAUCUGUAGCGGGUCUGAGAGGAUGAUCCGCCACACUGGAACUGAGACACGGUCCAGACUCCGACGGGAGGCAGCAGUGGGGAAUUUUGGACAAUGGGGGCAACCCUGAUCCAGCCAUGCCGCGUGAGUGAAGAAGGCCUUCGGGUUGUAAAGCUCUUUCGGUCGGGAAGAAAUCGCAUGGGUUAAUACCCUGUGCGGAUGACGGUACCGGCAUAAGAAGCACCGGCUAACUACGUGCCAGCCGCCGCGGUAAAAC
rnacentral:rRNA from 1 species